ACAUGCAAGUCGAGCGGUAGGUCCUUUGGGGUACCGCAGAGGCGAAGAGGUGAGUAACACCUGGGAAUCUGCCCUGAACUUAGGGAUAAGACUGGGAAACUGGAUCUAAUACCGCAUAUGACCUUCGUGAGAGAGGAGGGGAAGAUCAAUCUGUGGGUGAUCAGAUGAGCCUGGGUCGGAUUAGCUAGUUGGUGCGGUAACGGCUCACCAAGGCGACGAUCCGUAGCCGGUCUGAGAGGGUGAUCUGCCACACUGGGACUGAGACACGGUCCAGACUCCUACGGGAGGCAACAGUGGGGAAUCUUCCACAAUGGGCGAAAGCCUGACCCAGCCACGCCGCGUGAGUGAAGAAGGUUUUCGGAUUGUAAAGCACUAAAGGUUGCCCUAGAGGAAGGGCAUUAACCUAACACGUCUUGUGUGUGACGGUACAGACAAGAUAAGCCCCGGCUAACUAUGUGCCAGCAGCCGCGGUAAUACAGAGGGGGCAAGCGUUAUCCGGAAUUACUGGGCGUAAAGCGCGCGGAGGUUAAUUUGUUUAGUUGGAUUUGAAAUCCCGGGGCUCACCCCCGGAAUCCAUUCAAAACUGACUUACUUGAGUAUGGUAGAGGGGGGGGGAAUUUCCUGUGUAACGGUGAAAAGCGUAGAUAUAGGAAGGAACCCCAGUGGCGAAGGGGACCACCUGGGCUGAUAAUGACACAGGGGUUCAAAAACGUUGGGAGCCCACAGGAUUUGAUACCCUGGUUGUUCACGCCGUAAACGAUGUCCCACUUGCCCGUUGGGAAACCCUUUAGCUUUUAGUGGCGCUAGCUACCGCAAAAUAUAUUCCCCCUGCGGAUUACGGCCGCAAGGUUAAAACUCAAAUGAAUUGAUUGGGGCCCGCACAGGCGCGGUGGUUUCUCUGGUUUAUUUAGAAACAACGCGAAGACCCUUACCAGCCCUUAAUUCUCCAAUGAACUUUCUACCGAUAGAUUGGUGCCUUCGGGAACAUUGAAACAUGUGCGGCAUGGCGGUCGUCAGAACUUAAUGUGAGAUGGUUGGGUUAAGUCCCGUCACGAGCGCAACCCUUGUCCUUAGUUAUCAGGCCAAGAAAGGGUGGCCACUAUAAGGAGACUGCCGGUGACGAAACUGGAGGCAGGUGGGAGAUGACGCCAAGUCAUCAUGGCCCUUACUGCCUGAGGCUACACCCGUGCUACAAUGGUCGGUACAGAGGGGCGCCAAGCCGCGAGGUGGAGCUAAUCCCACAAAACCGAUCGUAGUCCGGAUCACAGUCUGCAACUCGACUGCGUGAAGUCGGAAUCGCUAGUAAUCGCGAAUCAGAAUGUCGCGGU
rnacentral:rRNA from 1 species